GCUGUCUGCCUCCCCGGCUGAUUGGAUUCGUUACUGCUUUGCAACGCGCACCUAACUCCAGGCUGGAGUGCAGUGGCACAAUCUCAGCUUGCUGUGACCUCAGCUCUCUGCGACCUCUGCUUGCUGGACUCAAGCGAUCCUCCCACCACCUCAGCCUCCUGAGUAGCUGGAACCAUCAUAUGCACCAGCACGCCUGGCUAAAGUUUUGCUCUUGUCACCCAGGCUGGAAUGCAAUAGCGUGGUCUUGGCUCACUGCAACCUCCGCCUCCCGGGUUCAAGCAAUUCUCCUGCCUCAGCCUCCUAAGUAGCUGGGACUACAGCUUGAGGUCCUACCUGGUGUCCUCCAUGAGAAUCAUACAAGCCCCGCUACAGACAACAGAAUUGGAAGGUCCUGAGAGCUACCAGAAGCAUCUUCAGUUUUCAUAUGAAAAACUUAAGCCCAGGAGUGAUUUGUGCAGCCAAGGACACACAGCAAGUUAGUGGCUGCACCAGAAAUAGUACUCACUGCCUCAGACAGUCCCUCCCACAGUCUACUCUGUCUCCACCCCAAGGUCUGGUUCUGAAUCAUUCAGUUGUCAGUUGUCUCCUUUUUUUUUUUUUUUUUUGGAGACAGGGUCUCUCUCUGUGGCCCAGGCUGAAGUGCAGUGGUGUGAUUACAGCUCAUGUAGCCUGGACCUCCCAAGCUCAAGCAAUCCUCCUGCCUCUGCCUCCCAAGUAGCUGGGACCACAGGUGGGCAGCACCACACCUGGCUAA
rnacentral:lncRNA from 1 species